CACGUAGGGUGCAAGCGUUGUCCGGAAUUAUUGGGCGUAAAGGGCUCGUAGGCGGUCCGUCACGUCGGGAGUGAAAACUCGGGGCUCAACCCCGAGCCUGCUUCCGAUACGGGCGGACUAGAGGUAGGUAGGGGAGAACGGAAUUCCUGGUGUAGCGGUGGAAUGCGCAGAUAUCAGGAGGAACACCGAUGGCGAAGGCAGGUCUCUGGGCCACUACUGACGCUGAGGAGCGAAAGCGUGGGGAGCGAACAGG
rnacentral:rRNA from 1 species